AGGUUGCCAACUUCCUUGCCCGUUUCAAGUCGAUCCCUAGUAUCAUUGAGCUCGACAGCUUGAAGGUCUCUGGUGAUGUCUUGUUUGGCUCUAGAGUCGUGCUCAAGGGCAACGUGACCAUCGCAGCCAAGGCUGGAGUCAAGUUGGAGAUCCCAGACGGAGCUGUGCUCGAGAACAAGGACAUCAACGGCCCAGAGGAUCUUUGAG